CUGCUUUGUUUUUUGUUGUACAUUGUACAGCUAAUUUAGAUUGCAUGCCUAGUAUGAAAGAGAUCAAGUAUGUUACCGAAAUUGGCUAUCUCAAUUCGCGACUUCCGAACUCAUCCUCAGUCUGUCAUUCUGAUGCAGGGGUCCUGAAAGAAGUUGGAACGUUUUGAACCGUCUCAGCCAAUAAGUAUUAGAAAAUAGGUAGUCGCUUAAUGAUUAGUUUCUUCGCUGCCCGUCAACUUACCAUCCAAGCAAGCACUAUGUCUGUGAAACCAUUAGCUGAAUACAGUUAAUACCAGUAGUUCACCAAAACAACAGGUUAAGAAUCAUACUGAAUCAAAAGAGGUAUCUAGUCGAACCAAAUUUCAUAAUGAUAACGGUUGGAAGCCCGAAGGAAUUUUUGAAAAAUGCUUCCUGCCCAUUACCUUCAGUCGUUGCUGCACCCCGAAAACAAAGUAUUAACAGUUAUAUAAAUUGAAGUGCAUAUCUGGGCUCCCUUCUUUUCUGUGGCCCCGUUUCCCUUAGAUUUUUAAUAAGCCCGUAGGGGGUCAUGCCCCUACUGUACGGUAUAUAUAAAAAUAACAUAUACCGAGGUUUGGAGGGCUCUGGCCGGAAAGGGGACGUGGGGGUCCGCUUAGUCCGAUGAUGUGUUCACGGAGGGCGACGUGGCUAUCCACAAAUCCGAACUAAAGGUUAAUCGCUCCAGUAAAAAUGUUCCAUAUCUUCGGCUCUUCUUCCGGCUUCUCUUAGCCAAUCACCGGGUAAUCUCCCCGGUGGGUCAACAAGGCAGUGUCUCCCCCUGCCUGGGUUGACGGCAA